UAAAAUGCGGAAAAAAUCCUUGAAGAAUACAAUAGCAAAAUGAUGCAAACGAUUAUGAGUUAUAUCCUAAAAUAAACCAAAGACCUUCAUUUAGAGUACAAAUUACGAUUUAGUAAUUACUCCAUCCUUCUCAAAUUAGGCGUCCUAUUUACUAUUUUCCUUGUCUCGUUAUUUGUCCCUUUUAUAAUACCAAUACAACAUUUAUUAUCCUUUUCCCCAAACAUACAUUUUAAUCAUCUAACUACUUGACAAACUAUAAUUAAUAUGAGUAUUUUAGUAAAUGAAACACAUUUUACCAUUAAAAUCAACACUACUAACCAUUUCCUUAAUAACCGUGUAAAACUCAAAAGGGACACCUAAUUUGAGACGGAGGGAGUAGGCAGUGGCGGAGCCCUUCAUGGGCUGAGGUGGGCCACGGCCCACCCGGAAAAAUUAAAAAAUCAACGAUUAUAGGUCUAUUUAGCGAGAUUUUAUGCAAUUUUGUGUUGGUUUUAUGUUUUGGUUGAUCCAAAUUCCUGCAAAGUGGUGUAGUGGCCCACCCGAAAAUUUAAAUAAUUCAAUUAUAGGUCUAUUUUGCGAGAUUUUAUACAAUUUUAUGUCGGUUUUAGGUUUUGGUUGAUCCAAAUUCUUGCGAGACUUUAAACAAUUUUUCAAUAGUUAAUUUUAGUGGCCCACCCUGACAUUUUUUUCUGGCUCCGCCACUGGGAGUAGUCCACAUGAAACAGAAAGGAAGCAAAAAACAAACAAACCAACCUAGUCUUACUAGAAACAAAAAUAAAAAUUGCAAAGGAUGCAAGCUCCCUCAAUGGAAGCACAACUAAAUGAAAGGACAAUGUUCUUUUUUUUGGUGUUAACCCUCUGGCUCCUAAAGGGAAAGAGCCCUAGUAAUCCGGAGUUCAGUUGGGAGGUAAGUAAAGUCUGGUCAAGAAUUGUUGCACCCAAGAAUCGAAUUCGGGUUCUCCCGAAUUAUUCAUCUUUGGGUGGAGCUCAUUAACCACUUGAGCUCAAUCAGUUGAUUAAUAUAGCAAUAAAAAGACCACAAAAACAACGUAGUAACUUCU
rnacentral:lncRNA from 1 species